UACGGAGGGUGCAAGCGUUAUCCGGAUUCACUGGGUUUAAAGGGUGCGUAGGAGGGCAGGUAAGUCAGUGGUGAAAUCUCCGAGCUUAACUUGGAAACUGCCAUUGAUACUAUCUGUCUUGAAUAUGGUGGAGGUUAGCGGAAUAUGUCAUGUAGCGGUGAAAUGCUUAGAUAUGACAUAGAACACCAAUUGCGAAGGCAGCUGGCUACACCUAUAUUGACUCUGAGGCACGAAAGCGUGGGGAUCAAACAGG
rnacentral:rRNA from 1 species